rnacentral:lncRNA from 1 species
UUUACCUUCUGAUUUAUUUUCUUCAGUGAUCUUUGCCUCUUCCAUGAUUUUAGUAAUCAUUUAUAAGUGCAGAAUCAUAAAUGUUUAUCUCAACACUGGCAUUUUUUGAGGUCCAUGCUUCAAUGUUCAAUUGCUUACUCUAUAUCACAAUUGGAUAUCCUAAAGCAUCCUAACAGAAUGUGUGAGAAACUGAUUAUACAGCUCAAAAUAAUACUUAGGACUCAGUGGCCUAUUAUGGGGUGGCAUAUUCUGCCACUCUCCACUUUCUUUUCUGAUGUCAUUUGUUAAAUUUACACUGAAAAUUAGCAUGCUUUUAGCCAGUUUUUUUACAUUUUAUGAGAAAAAUGUCUCUCUCAUCAAUUAAUUGUGAGUACAUUUCCCGGGGUCUCCUUUAGUAAUCCGGGCUGCUACUUCAAAGGGAAAAAAAAGCAAUAGAAUUUUGAAGCCUUUGGAUGAGAAAUAGUAAUAUGAGUACCAAAAAAGCUAUUUUUUUACUUAAUAAUAUUAUUUGUUAUUUGAAACUCUAUAUGAAACAUGUAUCGUAUGACCCCUACAUAUAGUGAUAUUUUAUAAAAAGUUACUACAACAAAAUGCCCAAUAAGUUCUUCAAUUAAAUAUUGCUCUAUGCAUACUUAGUUCUAUGGACUGCACCUGAUAUGGAAACACCAAGGUAUAAUUCUAAUUAAGAAAGUAAAGAACAACAAAUAUGUUGGAUAUUAUAACUCUAGCUCAGUAAUUUUUAAAUAAUACUUUUUUCUUUCUAUAUGCAUUCAAAAAUUCCUCUAGUAUUUACAUGUCAAAGGGGGUUGAAAUUAAGUACAAAUAUCUUAAAUUGUUAAACUUUUCCUAAUAUUAAGAGAUUUUAUGGUUGAACAUCAGAGGUUGAUGGAUAUACUUGGCUAUGACAAGAUUAUGUAAGAUUUUUAUAUGCAAAAUACCAAAUGCCAGAUGUUCUUUAUCUCUGUUAGAUGAAAAACAAAUACAAAUGAGGUCAAGUACUCAAUGUGCAUAGUGUGACAUUUAAAAAUAUUUCUAUCACACAUCUUGUUUUCAGUAACAUUUUAAACCUGUCAGUGGAUAAAAUUAAACGGCACUCCCAAACAUGUCAUUAAAUUAAAACCUGAAAAGAGACUACUCAUUUAAUUAUCUGAUCUUAAAUUUCUGACAGUGAAAAGAGGAUUACAUCAAUGUUUAAAAUUCAAGGGGAAAGAAAGGAAAUUAUAUUGGCAGGGCUCUGAAACAUGACUUAAAUUUCAUGAGUUUAGAUGUUUGUAAUAACUAUUCAUCUAUGAUAUAAAUGAGAUAAGCUUAUAUUGACUUGUGCAUUCUCAGGAGAAAAAUUAAAAAUGUGUAUCUUUAAGCAAGUAAAGAACAAAGCCUGUUUUACAUAAUGAUAUACUGGCGACAGCUGCAUGACAGUCUAGAAGAAAUAAGGCUAUGGUAGGCAAUGAUUCAUCAUAAAAAUAACUGUUAUAAAAUCAUUUGCAAACAAAAUCAUUAUAAAACUAACCACAUCUUUCAUUAUCUGCCAAGUUUUUGUAAUUGUUAAAUUAUACUAAUCCGGUGGAUGACAGACUCAUCAAUAAUGGAGAAACUUCAUAAAUUAAACAAGAAAAAAAACUUUGUAGAAAUUACAGUAAAAGUAAAAUUAUUACUGGCUGCCAAGAAUUUAAGAUCUAUUCUUACACAGUAUGAUAGGUACCAUAUGCUGAUUAUUUAUAAUUAUUUGAACAUUACUGAGAAUGCUUGACUUCUUUUACUGGUGAAAACACUUGUUUGUUUUCAGGAUUUCAAAAGUGAACAGUGGAGUGAUAUCCAAUUCAAUAGUAGUUGGAAAAACAGAGAUUUGACCCGAAGUUUCUAGAUUUAAAAACUAUAGAAAUAAUUUUUCAAGUGAGACAUAUUAUCACUAUCUAAUCAUUUCAUUAUGGGCCUCAAAAAUUUUGUUUACUCAACAACUACUUUCAGCUUUUUUAUGCUAGACACUGAUCAAAGCUUAGACAAAACAGUGAAUAAACAGACAAAAUUACUUGCCUUAAAGAGGCUUAUAUUCUAGUAGGAAAAGAGAACAAAAAACAACACAAAAAUAAAAUAAAAUAUAUAAAAGUUGGAUUGUUACAAAUCCUAAUGAAAAAAUAUAUAAGCCAGAGAAAGUUUUGAGUUGGGAUGUGGGCUGCAAUUUUCAUUAGAGUAACCAGAGAAAGAUUCCCUAAGAAAGAGGUUUUGAGCAAAAUCUGAAAGAGUUAAGAUAAUUUCCAGUAAUUUUACCC